rnacentral:rRNA from 1 species
CCUACGGGAGGCAGCAGUGAGGAAUAUUGGUCAAUGGACGCAAGUCUGAACCAGCCAUGUCGCGUGCAGGAAGACGGCCCUAUGAGUUGUAAACUGCUUUUGUACGAGGGUAAACCCAGACACGCGUACCUUUUUGCAUGUACCUUACGAAUAAGGAUCGGCUAACUCCGUGCCAGCAGCCGCGGUAAUACGGAGGAUUCAAGCGUUAUCCGGAUUUAUUGGGUUUAAAGGGUGCGUAGGCGGUUGGUUAAGUUAGUGGUGAAAUCCCGAGGCUCAACUUUGGAAUUGCCUUUGAUACUGGUCGGCGAGAGAGUAGUUGCGGUAGGCGGAAUGUAUGGUGUAGCGGUGAAAUGCUUAGAGAUCAUACAGAACACCGAUUGCGAAGGCAGCUUACCAAGCUACUACUGACGUUGAGGCACGAAAGCGUGGGGAGCAAACAGGAUUAGAUACCCGGGUAGUC